AUGUGCAAAUUUCCCCUUUGGUGUUCUAUAGUAUUGCUGUUAUUCCCAGUCCCUGCAAAUGCCAGGGUGUGGAUGAACCAGUGGUCCUCAAAGAAUGCUUACAUAGUAGGGGAAACAGCUGCUCUUAAUUGCAACAUAACCUCAGAUCAUGAGGAAAUAAGAAAUUGCAAAAUGAGAUGGAUCAUUGAAGAUCAAGGUGAUGUCACAAGUUUGGAGUUGUAUACGCAUCGUGUAAACAUGAAUUGGAGCAAAACAGCUACUACUAUGACAUUGAGAAACCUGACCUUGAGUGACACCAUUAUGCCAAUUUGCAUCGCAAAGUGCAUCAUUGACAGUGUCAACAGCAAGGUUUAUGGGGAGGGUGGCACACACAUUUUUGAAGACAUCAACCAGAUGACCCUGGUCUCAAAGUUGACAACACUGGUCCCAGAGUUGACAACACUGGUCCCAAAGGAAAUCAAACAGGAACAUGCUCUCACUUGGCCGAACCAUGUUUUUCUCAGCAUAAACAUCCUGAUUUUCAUUGUGGCCACAAUUAUUUGUGUGUCAUACAUCAGAACCCAAAUGAAUAUGAAUUAAAAAGGGAUUGCAUUAGUUGUUAAAAUAUUGCCUGAAGCACCCUUCCAAGUUAUAGCCUAAAGCCUAUGCUCUAACACCU
rnacentral:lncRNA from 1 species